rnacentral:rRNA from 1 species
AUCCUGGCUCAGGAUGAACGCUGGCGGCGUGCUUAACACAUGCAAGUCGAACGGUGAACACGGAGCUUGCUCUGUGGGAUCAGUGGCGAACGGGUGAGUAACACGUGAGCAACCUGCCCCUGACUCUGGGAUAAGCGCUGAAAACGGCGUCUAAUACUGGAUAUGUGACGUGACCGCAUGGUCUGCGUCUGGAAAGAAUUUCGGUUGGGGAUGGGCUCGCGGCCUAUCAGCUUGUUGGUGAGGUAAUGGCUCACCAAGGCGUCGACGGGUAGCCGGCCUGAGAGGGUGACCGGCCACACUGGGACUGAGACACGGCCCAGACUCCUACGGGAGGCAGCAGUGGGGAAUAUUGCACAAUGGGCGCAAGCCUGAUGCAGCAACGCCGCGUGAGGGACGACGGCCUUCGGGUUGUAAACCUCUUUUAGCAGGGAG